UAGGAGGGCGCCAGAAGUAGGAGGCCCGAUCGGCAAAAAAAGAGAAAGAAACGAGGCCCAAUCGGCAACAACGAUGUCCGAUCCCAGCGGCCAGCGAUCGCGAGAUCGUUCCCAUGAAACAGCGAGAGAUCCUCUGGAAAAAAAGAAAGAUAGCAAAUUAGAGAGCAAUCAGCGCCUGGACGUGAUUCCCUUCCUGUUACGUUCGACGCCUUUCUUCCAUCACGAAGAGUUCCCAGGUCCCAGCCCUACGCCCCUACCUGCUGGCCGCCGACGCCGUGCACGCACAGACGCACUCCGACCUCGCCGUCCCCUGACUCUAGACAGGUACAGACUACUGAAGUUUGAUCGUCAGGAUUCUGGACAUUAGGUAUUGAGCAUUGUGUUUGUUCUCAUGGCGCCCAGCAAGAGGAACUAUCCAUCGGGUAGCCACAAAAGGAAAAAAAAAGGAGAAAGAGAAUAAACUUAUAAAGUCACAGCGCGGAGGUAUUCGCAAUUUUUUCAUGCCAAGUGAUAUUGGUGCCUGUAUUACUCCGCCGGACCCAGCUGAUGCGUUGGCGAUUGUUGCCAUUGUGGAAGAGCAACAAACAAAUGAAAACUCGGACUCUAAUCAGCAAGAAGAAAAUAUCAACUCCAACAUCGGCGAUGACAAUGUAAGUGGCUCCGAGAAUGUAAGUAAUUCGUCGGAUGCACAUGCCCAAUCUGCUAGUGUUGAUGAACAACCAGUUUAUACUGCCGAUAUUUAUGAUCCAAAAAGCUGGGAUAAUCUUGAUAAUAAAGCAAGAGAUAUCUUAGUUGAGAAAGGGCCUAUCAGAGAGGAAAAAAUGGAAUACCAUGUAGAUGAAACAGGAAGACAUUUUUCGUAUGCUCAUUAUCAUAGAUUUAAAGAACUCAUGGUCUUUAAAGAUAUAUUCGGAUUUUUAUUGAGCUCGGGCACUCUCACGUCAUUAAGUGACAAUGAACUUGAAGAAUGUUGCACAAAAUUUGCAGAAACUUUCUCUCUUAAUGGUUCAUCUGAUGUUGAGGUAUACGAUCUUAUUUCUGAAUUGAAGAUUAUGAGAUUCACUUUGCCAGAUGGCGCAAUGUCUGCUAUGGAGAUUUUCAGGCAUGUCAGAGAAGUUGAUUGUUACCCCAAUAUAUCCAUUGCCUAUCGCAUCUUAUUUAUUGUGCCUGUGACGGUCGCAUCGGCCGAGAGAAGCUUUUCAAAGUUGAAAUUAUUGAAGAAUUAUUUGAGGUCAACCAUGACUCAAGAGAGGUUAAAUGGUUUGGCCAUAUUAUGCAUCGAGAAGAAAUUAUUGGAUGAGAUUGACAUCGACCCCAUCAUAAGUGACUUUGCAUCGAGGAAUGUUAGAAGAAAAUUUUAAGAACCAAUCAAAGUGGUGAACUGGCAAGAACUUGUGCUUCAAAGAUAUUUAGGCCUCAACAUCAAUUAGAGCAAUUACACAGGUGUCUUUGUCAGGAUCAGAGCUACGAUCUAAGCAAUUUAGCGCACAAACCAGGAAAUUUAGCAGAAGAACAGAGCAAAUUGCUAGGGUUCUUGUUGAGAGUUUUGGAAAAGUUGGUACAGCACGCCACAGGCGGCUAGGGUUUACACCCAAAUCACAGAAUCAUGCCCUCUCCCGAGCAGGGUGGUUGGCUUUAUAGCCAUUACAAAAGAGAAAAGUGAAAGAAAGCAGAGACAGAGCACAUGCGCUUGUCGGAUCAGCUACAGCUGUGUCUGAAACAUGGCCCGCCCUUGGAUAGCAGAUCGACGGAGGAGAGCUGCCCACUUGAUUGAACCGUUAUCUUCGCAUUAGAGCCACACGAUGAGAAAUCUACGGCUACAGUGACAUCUGGCACGCAGGAACAGGGGAAGGCUAUGAAUUGGGCCUGACAAUACCCCCCAAUUGAAACGGAGCUUGUCCUCAAGCUCUAAAAGACGGAAAAACCUUCUGAAUGAAUGCAGAGUCUUCCCAAGUAGCUUCUUCCACAGGCAUGUUGGUCCAUUUGACUAGCCACCGAACGACAGGAAUACUGAUGUUUCCUUGCUUCCUUGGAACCAGGGUUCUUUCCAGCACAGCUUCAGGCUCCACCUUGAUGAUUCCAUCAGGACCAACUAGUGGUAGUAUAGGGGAAGGGACAACUGUUGGUCCUAUGUGCUUUUUAAGCUGGCUGACAUGAAAUGUGUCAUGCAGCUGACAACCCUCAGGCAAGAGUAAUUUAUAAGCAUGAUUUCCAAUUCUUUCCA